CCUACGGGCGGCAGCAGUGGGGAAUAUUGCACAAUGGGGGAAACCCUGAUGCAGCGACGCCGCGUGAGUGAAGAAGUAAUUCGUUAUGUAAAGCUCUAUCAGCAGGGAAGAAAAUGACGGUACCUGAGUCAGGAGCCCCGGCUAACUACGUGCCAGCAGCCGCGGUAAUACGUAGGGGGCAAGCGUUAUCCGGAUUUACUGGGUGUAAAGGGAGCGUAGACGGCAGUGCAAGUCUGGAGUGAAAGGCGGGGGCUCAACCCCCGGACUGCUCUGGAAACUGUACGGCUGGAGUGCAGGAGAGGUAAGUGGAAUUCCUAGUGUAGCGGUGAAAUGCGUAGAUAUUAGGAGGAACACCAGUGGCGAAGGCGGCUUACUGGACUGUAACUGACGUUGAGGCUCGAAAGCGUGGGGAGCAAACAGGAUUAGAUACCCCUGUAGUC
rnacentral:rRNA from 1 species